UACGGGGGGGGCAAGCGUUGUUCGGAAUUACUGGGCGUAAAGGGCUCGUAGGCGGCCAACUAAGUCAGACGUGAAAUCCCUCGGCUUAACCGGGGAACUGCGUCUGAUACUGGAUGACUAGAGGUUGGGAGAGGGAUGCGGAAUUCCAGGUGUAGCGGUGAAAUGCGUAGAUAUCUGGAGGAACACCGGUGGCGAAGGCGGCAUCCUGGACCAAUUCUGACGCUGAGGAGCGAAAGCCAGGGGAGCAAACGGG
rnacentral:rRNA from 1 species